GUCCGCGCUCAGACACACCGAGAGGCUCCACCCGCUCUGUCAUGCGUGAGCACCUAUAAGGGGAUUAUGGUACAGUGUCAGAGUGGAUCUCGGGUAAAUAGACGCUGAGAAAUCCUCCACGAGACCGCGUCCGCCCUACCUCGGCGAAAGUCAUGUGGUAUUAAAUCACGGAGGGCACCGUCCGCCUUAUCCUGGAGUCAAGAGCCAGAAGAAACACAUCAUGACUCUGCAGGAAAAAACAUCAACAAGUAGAUUUCUCAUCCGUACCCUUGAUAGUGACUGUGUGAUGGGUGAUGAGCCAAGGAGACGCCAACGAGGAAUCGUCGAACAAAAAGCUUUAUUUGUUUCAGCGAGCCUCAGACUGGAACUGCAGCUUCCAGGAGAAAGAGUAAGGGCCUCAUUACUCUUCUGAUGUCCUCUCAGACCACUGUCCCUGUCACACCGUGGUCACUUGCCCUUCCUUAUGUGUCAUCAGUCCGACAUCAUCCCUGAUCCUUGAUUGUUUCCACCUGUUCCCCAUUACCCCCAUGUGUCUUAAAAGCCCACACCUCCCUUUGUUCGGUGCCGGAAUGUCUCGUGCAUCUCCAGCAUCAUACUCAAGCCGUGUCUCGUCUUGUUAUCCAGAUCCUGAAUUUCCAAGUUGGUAUUUUGAGUUUUCCUUUUCUCCUCUUAAGCAGAGUGAAAUGUUGUUUAAGUUUUCUAGUCUUCUUUUCCUAAUUUUUGAGUGACCUUUUGUUAAUAAUUUCUCUAGAUAAAAAUCAGUGUAGAAACUUUAUAGCCCAUUGUUUUUCCCUCCUUUUUGGAGCGUCUUUUGUUGUUUAAUUUUCAUAGUUAAAUAAAAAAUAGCUUGUACUGCUUGUCCAUUCACAAUAUCAUGUUGUAAAAACCAAUGUAAAUUCAACACAAACAUUCUGGCAAUAUAGCUGCCGGCUUUUUCCGUAAAAAACAAAAAAGUGGUACUGUUUUUUAUAUUUACCGUAAAAUGUUGUAAGAAAUAAAAAAAAACACUAUUUUACAGUAAAAUGUUGUAAAUGUAAAGUUUUUACCGUAUAAUCGACAGUCUACUUAAAACAAUUUAUAUAAUUAAUAAUGAAAUCCAGAGGCACAUUCAUACAUUAUUCACUGUUACAAGCGGCCCUCUGAUGGCAGCCAUAACUGCCAUGUGGCCCUCAAUGAAAACCACUUUGACAUCCCUGAUCUACAGCAACAAUAUGAUUUCCCUGAGUGGCUGGACAGGCCAAAAAAAAUAAAAAUAAAAUAAAGUUUUCUAAUCCAGGGCAAACCAUUCACUAAAUAUAUGUCUUAUUUACUAAAUACUGGUAUCAUAUGUGUAUAUUAGGAUGAUGUUGUGAUGUUGUUCUUUUGUAGAUCCCUACAGUGGCGGGCCGUGCGUUUCCCACCUCGGCCUUCAAUGAAGUCCUUCUUAGUCCGACUUCCAUAAAUACCUCUCAAAAUACCAUAAUUGAUGUUGUCACAUGACCACGGCUUGAGAAAUAGUACACAGAAGCACACUUGUGCACUACUUUGCAUUGAAUCACCUCAAUGUGUCACUAGGGUGCAAAACGGGCUAUUUUUUGGCGCAUUUAAAAAUCAAUAAACCCGCAACGGAUGUGGUACUGUCAAAACUAAAAUAAUUGUAAAAAAUAUAUUGAAGGUGAAAAAAUGUUUAAAAAAUAUUAGGGUACAUUACACAUAUGUUUAUUAUUGCAAUUUAGUCCUUAAAUAAAAUAGUGAACAUACAAGACGACUUGUCUUUUAGUAGCAAGUAAACAAACAAAGACUCCUAAUUAGUCUGCUGACGUAUGCAGUAACAUAUUGUGUCAUUUAUCUACCUAUUAUUUUGUCAACAUUAUGAGGGACAAACUAUACAAAUUGAUUAUUAAUCCACUUGUUCGUUUACUUUUAAUAUCUGCUUGUUUUCAUUUGAGUGAAAGUGGCGGGCAAACCGCUAUGUCUGCUACCUAAUCAACGUUUUGUUCUGCUACUUUGCUGGUUAAAAAAGUGAGUGCCACUGAUUUCUCCACUGGCCUGGUAUGGCUCUGGUGCCACAUUCUGCUUUCGUAAAUCACAACUUGUGAUUGGAUACCUGGGAGCGACAAGUGAGUAUCCAAUCCCAGUCACGUUCUACGUCCGGCAGAAUUUGUACAGCGCUGGCAACAAGCUCGCUGAAUUCUGAUUGGUUAAAAGAGCAACACUAGAACCUAAUAUGACAUGAAGAGAAUAUGAUGAAUACUUGUAUAUAUUUAUAAUAAGAAAUGUCUGCAUAUGUUAUAUUGUUCUUUUUCCAUAUUUAACAUAUUGAAGUUGAAGUUUGGGGAAAUGUUUAUAAAACAAACAAAGACCCAAUAAUUAAACAUAAAAAAAGGGUCAUUAGAAUAAUACACAAAGCGUGCUACUAUGAACAUACUAAUCCAUUAUUUAUAAGUUCUAAUGUGUUAAAAUUUUCAGAUAUUGUGUUUUUAAAAACAAUGGAAAUUAUGUUUCGAGUAAAGAUCAACAUUCUUAAGUUAUUUAAAAUAAGAGGAGAAAACUAUAAUUUACGGGGAUAUUGAUUUUUGAAAUAUGUAAAGUAAGAACAAAUAUAAAAUACAAAUGUAUUUCAGUUUUAUGAGUUAAAUGGUGGAACAAGCUCAGUGAUGAGUUGAAGACAUGUAGUUCUUUGUUAAGGUUUAAGAAAACCUUGAAAGGUGAAAUAAUUGAAAAUUAUAAAAUAUAGUAACAAUUACUUUCAUCCCAUUGAUUUUUUGAACGUUGAUGUUCCAGGUAAUCUUAUUUUCAAUGAAUGUAUAGGAUAGGCAAAUAUAAGCUUUGGCUUCAGCCUAUUCUUUUUUCAGUCAUUAUUUUUCUUGUCUUUUUGUGUGUAAACGUGUAUGAUUGUUAAAUAUGUAUGAUGUGUGCUGUUAAACUGUUAAACUGAUCACACAAAAUGGUUGAUAGGUCGUGAGUUCAAACCCCGGCCGAGUCAUACCAAAGACUAUAAAAAUGGGACCCAUUACCUUCCUGCUUGGCACUCAGCAUCAAAGGUUGGAAUUGGGGGUUAAAACACCAAAAAUGAUUACCGGGCGCGGCCACCACUGCUGCCCACUGUUCCCCUCACCUCCCAGGGGGUGAUCAAGGGUGAUGGGUCAAAUGCAGAGAAUAAUUUCGCCACACCUAGUGUGUGUGGGACAAUCAUUGGUACUUUAACUUUUAACUUUAAAUGAUGGUUGAUUUUAUGACCGAAAUAAACUAAUUUCAUUCAUUCAUAUUUUUUUGGAAAGUCAAUUAAAAAUAAAAGUAACUUUUAUUAAUGAAUGAUCAUGACUUACGUUAGGCCAGCAGAGAAGGCCUUGCUGGCCCUGACGGCACACCACUGGAUCUCUGUAAUAGUAAAGUUUGUGUAGCCAUUUAAUUGCUUAUACAGUCAAAGCUGUCCAUAGCAACCAUUAAAGGGAAAAAGUGGCCACUUUAUGCAGGUUGGCAGCCAUUAUAUAUACAUAUUAGUGUGAUAAAUAGGUGGGGGAAUAGGUUAUAAAAUACAAUAUUCUGUGUGUGUGCGUGUGUGUGUGUGUGUGUGUGUGUGUGUGUGUGUGUGUGUGUGUGUGUGUGUGUGUGUGUGCGUGUGUGUGCUUAUUUACAUAUAGUGACAGAGUGGCGGUAUCUGAUGGUAUUGUAACUAAAACAGAUUAAUAAUCAAAUGAAGGUUUAAUGCUACGAGAUGCAUUUAUACUGUUUUACAUUUACAAGCGACCCACUAAUGCGGAUGUGGGAUUAAAAAUGAGUGUGUGUGUGUGUGUGUGUGUGUGUGUGUGUGUGUGUGUGUGUGUGUGUGUGUGUGUGUGUGUGUGUGUGUGUGUGGUGCAACGACUCCACGUGAAGGGUGCAGCCAAUUAACAAAAGUCCCUGAUGGAGAAACCUCAUCAGGAUGCGGCGAACAUCUCGGAUCUGCCUCCGCCUGCCGCAGUCCAUCAGCGCGACUGAGACGUCAACGGCAGCCGGGCUCCAAACGCUGACGUCUUCAUCCUUUAAUCUGUUUGAAAUGACACUACAAUGCCUUUCAGGCACGUGUAAUGAAUUCUUAAAAUCUAUAAUUCAGAGGUAAAAUCAACAAAGUCACGAGGACUCCAUGCUACCUUGUUAGUGGUGCCAGAAGCUUUUUGGGAACUUUACACGACAUUGUCGGGUGACUUUCUAACUGCAUCACAGACCCGAGUAAGUCACUUACGGUAAAAACAACUUUUUUAGGGGAAGGAAACUAAAAAAGUUACUUAGUCCUAUGGGGCUGAAAACUGUAUCACGAUCAGGGUUGUCUCGAUACCAAUUUUUUUGGUACCGGUACCAAAAUGUAUUUCGAUACUUUUCUAAAUAAAAGGGACCACAAAAUGUUUUAUUUUUGGCUUUAUUUUAACAAAACAAUAUUAGGGUACUUGAAACAUAUGUUUAUU